GUGUCAGCCGCCGCGGUAAUACGGGGGGUGCAAGCGUUACUCGGAAUCACUGGGCGUAAAGAGCAUGUAGGCGGAUUAAUAAGUUUGAAGUGAAAUCCUAUAGCUUAACUAUAGAACUGCUUUGAAAACUGUUAAUCUAGAAUGUGGGAGAGGUAGAUGGAAUUUCUGGUGUAGGGGUAAAAUCCGUAGAGAUCAGAAGGAAUACCGAUUGCGAAGGCGAUCUACUGGAACAUUAUUGACGCUGAGAUGCGAAAGCGUGGGGAGCAAACAGGAUUAGAUACCCUGGUAGUCCACGCCCUAAACGAUGUACACUAGUUGUUGUGAGACUUGAUCUUGCAGUAAUGCAGUUAACACAUUAAGUGUACCGCCUGGGGAGUACGGUCGCAAGAUUAAAACUCAAAGGAAUAGACGGGGACCCGCACAAGCGGUGGAGCAUGUGGUUUAAUUCGACGAUACACGAAGAACCUUACCUGGACUUGACAUAGUAAGAACUUUCUAGAGAUAGAUUGGUGUCUGCUUGCAGAAACUUAUAUACAGGUGCUGCACGGCUGUCGUCAGCUCGUGUCGUGAGAUGUUGGGUUAAGUCCCGCAACGAGCGCAACCCUCGUGUUUAGUUGCUAACAGUUCGGCUGAGAACUCUAAACAGACUGCCUACGCAAGUAGGAGGAAGGUGAGGACGACGUCAAGUCAUCAUGGCCCUUACGUCCAGGGCUACACACGUGCUACAAUGGGAUAUACAAAGAGCGGCAAUACGGUGACGUGGAGCAAAUCUUAUAAAAUAUCUCCCAGUUCGGAUUGUAGUCUGCAACUCGACUACAUGAAGUUGGAAUCGCUAGUAAUCGUAGAUCAGCUAUGCUACGGUGAAUACGUUCCCGGGUCUUGUACUCACCGCCCGUCACACCAUGGGAGUCGAACUCAUUCGAAGCGGGGAUGCUAAAAUAGCUACCUUCCACAGUGGAUUUGGCGACUGGGGUGAAGUCGUAACAAGGUAACC
rnacentral:rRNA from 1 species